rnacentral:rRNA from 1 species
UACAGAGGGUGCAAGCGUUAAUCGGAAUUACUGGGCGUAAAGCGUGCGUAGACGGUUAUGUAAGUCGGGUGUGAAAUCCCCGGGCUCAACCUGGGAACUGCAUUUGUGACUGCAUGGCUGGAGUGCGGCAGAGGGGGAUGGAAUUCCGCGUGUAGCAGUGAAAUGCGUAGAUAUGCGGAGGAACACCGAUGGCGAAGGCAAUCCCCUGGGCCUGCACUGACGCUCAUGCACGAAAGCGUGGGGAGCAAACAGG